UGCUCCCUUAACUCCUGGAUCUUUGUUUUGGUGGCGACUAGGGAGAGCAGGGAGCGCUGUGCUCGCAUUUCCCUCUGGCUUAAACACACACACACACGCACACACGCACGCACACACAAAUUCCCUUUCCAACUUUCUGCCUUUUGCGCUUCCCUUCCAGUUUUUCACUUCUCAGACCUACUGGCAGCAUUUGCCGAGAUCUAGAUCCCCGCCGUGAUUUGAUUCAUAGGAAAAUGCAAGCGAUGUGUGCCACUGAUUUGGGUCAUCUGUACGCAAUUCAAAAGGAAAAGCACGCUCUGGCAUGCCCCCUGGUGUGCCCUCUGCAAUGGGAGGCAGAAGAGAGAGCUGGUCAGCCCUGGCCCAUGGUGCGCACCCCUCUGCAAGUUGCUCCCAUUGACACUGACAUGAGUUUUCUGUGUAGCUGACAUGAUGUCCUUCAUGCUUUUGGUAGUGUGCUUGCUCCACUGGACCAUCGCAUCUUUCAUGUAUAGAAAUAUUGCACAUUCAGGUUCAAAUCGAUCUGCCACCCUGAACUGCUGCAGACACAUUCCUGAAUACGUUAUUUUAGAGUGUUUCCUUUUAACUUAAGGUAAUGAAUGUACUUUGGUGGAUCCCCAGUGGAGAGAAAAGAAUGUUUCAGGCAUGCACUUCUCUUUGCAAAGAAGGCUUUCUUGACAGCGAGAGACGUAUAGGAAUGCAAGAUAUAUUGAAGAACUCAAAUGAAAUUAAAAUUGUGGAGGAAAGCAGGGUUAAAGAAGCAUUAUGGUAAAAUAAGGCCUUUAUUUCCACUCAUGGAGCUAUUAUGUAGAUAGUGUUUUACUUGCUUUCAUUCUUCUGUGAAUUCAUACAGACCCUUUUUAUGUGCUAUCACGUAUCAAAUUGACAAGGUGUAGCUGAUAAUCUCUUGCACUUACUACUAGAUUAAUUUGAGGAAAGAAAAUGGGUCAUUCUGAAAAUACGGAAGAACUUGAUACAAGGUAUGUUUGUGCCUCUGAGCAGACAAGGUAAAUGAGAUCAUCAGGGAAAUGUGGAUCAAAACACAAGAGAAGACAAAAAGGUUGUGUGAUGAAAGGAUGAAAAACAGGAAAAAGUACGAUAUUGAUUCUUUCUGAAAUGAAGAGCCAAGAAAAUGACCCAGGAGCUGGAAGGGCAUAGCUGCUGUUCUGAAUGAGGUGUCGUCGUGGAUUCUUGUCUUCAUUUUCUCUACGUGACUUAAAUCAGUUCUCCUAGAAAUGUUUUGCAGCCUGAAUGGGAGUACUCUGUAGCCUGACCCUACAGAAACCAAACUAACAUCUGGAUCUGGAGUUCAUGGCUGACUCCUCAGAAAUACAAUACAUGAAACUGGAAUCCCAUAUCUGAGAUUGGUUGACAGCUUGAGCGAUGAACAGAAAUUUGUUGGCUGAGGAUAAACCCAAGAACAUUCACUAAUAUGCUACUGUGCUUUUUCCUCUGUAAACUCUUCUUUUUUAAUUUGUGAAACAAAUGACUGUAUCAGCUGAAAAGAUAAUUAAACUAGCAACCAAAAUAGAUGUUUUAAAGGCCUGUCAAACUGCCAGUAUUUUAAAUGUGAAUAAAAAAAAAAUUUAAUGGUAAUUGCUAUCAUUGAGUAAAACAAGAUUUUACAACUCACAUUAGUUACUGAACUCUAAUUUAUUUCCCAAUGUACACAGUUUAUACUGCUCAUUAAACAUA